GGUGCACAAACCGCGCUGCCUGUUCACACGACACAGGGCAACUUCUUUGAUCAAAGUUGUUCUUUCGUCUCCGCCGUUACCCUCGAAGUGUCCUCCUCUAGACGGUUCUCUUUAUUCCGCCGUUCUUCAAAUUUACAGUCCAGGCCUAUUUAUCUUUACCCAGAAGUAAAUACCAUAGUGUUUAAUGGGGCUUACUCUCAGGUAAGCGCGCGGAGGACGGUAGUUUUCGCCCGCAUGCGUUGCAAAGGGGAAGGAGUGGCAUUACGGCUGCCCUUCUAAUGCAGGCUCACAUACUCUCGGUGUCUCACUGAAUUCAGUGGCUCUUACUUCUGGGUUAACCUGCAUGGGAUCGCGACGCUACGCAGAGCGGUUACUGCAAGCAAAUUUACACCACGCAGCACUUACUCCGAAACACACUUUCAGAGCCAGUCUAGUUUUAGCUCCGUGGGGUGGGGACUGGAGAGGCUCAUUUUUCCCAGGUACUUAGAAAGGAAGGGCAAAGGGGAUGGAUGCUGUGGGUAAACCUCGCUCCCAGCCACGUCGCUUCUCAACAAGCUCUACUCACACAACCACACCGCCCGAUCCGCUCCCCGGUGGAUUCCCACUCCCUUCUCAAGAUGGCAGCCUCGCAACUUCGGCAACAUGCCAAUUGUACUCAGUCCUGUUGCGUUUUAAGUUUCGGGUUUUGGGAGCGGCUCUACAUACACGCAAUUCCUCUGCAGGCCAGAAGGGCGACUAAACUUCCCCUUACUAGGGCCUCCGUCCGUCCUGAUCCUGCGCGCGCUGAGCCGGGCAAGUAAAGCCGACGGAGAGUCCCCUGGGGGCAGAUGGACUUACUUCCGAAGAUCCGGCCGCGCGUGCGAAGUACUGUACCGAAAGUGCUGGGGGUUUCUCUAGUCUAGAACAAACGCGACGUCUUCCUCCUAACAAAACCAGUUUGGGCGCGGAAUGGUUGAUUUAUUGUAAAGUAUGGCGAGACUGGGAAGGUUUGGCCCUUGUAAUAAUUUGCUGUGGCUAUGUCAUGGCUUCCCCAGAAGAAUCCUGGGAAGUGUAGUUUGUGAAGGGUGCUGAGAGAAGACCCAUAUUCUCCUCACAGAGCUACAGUUUGCCAGAGUGGUUUAACAGUCAUCUCCUCUUCCCAGAAAACUCAGAAUUAUAACUCUACUUUGUUGUUAUGUGACUUCAAGUCGAUUACGACUUAUGGCGACCCUAUGAAUCAGUGAUCUCCAAGAGCAUCUGUCAUGUGAAACACCCUGCUCACAUCUUAUAAGUUCAGAUACGAAACUGAGGAUCAAAGAGUGUGACUUGUUUACCAAGACCAUCCAUAGCUGAGCUGAGAGUUGAACCUUGGUUCUGAGCACAACAUUCUGUCCACUGGUCUCACUGGCUCUUUCAGGCAUCUACCACUUUGGAUCUAAACUCCUACUAAUCUAUGAAGAGCUUCCUCACGCUGUUGAGACAGCCAGUCUCCAUUGCUAGCCUAAGACAUUAUGCUGGCUGAGGAAAAGGACGAGACUUUCUCCGCCCUUCCCCCUCAAUUCCAUGUACAGAAACCAACCACGCUGGCAGCUGAACUUCACUUCAACACCGAUGAUCACACAGGAGGCAGCAGACAAAUUUAAGCAUGCAAUAAUCCCCCACAUGUGUGCCAAAUUCUGGAACAAGCUGAAGAGCAGCAAGACAUCUCAGUGCUUUCUGAGGCUCAGUACAAGCACUGGGUGGGUCCCUAAAGCGUGAGUGCGGAACCUCGGGCUCUGUGGCUAAAUGCAGCCCUCUAUGCUUUCCGGUAUAUCCUUGGAACUCUCCCCUGAUGACACCUUCUCCCCAGGUCCUACCCAUCACUGGCCCUCCUUCAUACCCAGAAUGUUUUGCCUGGCUGGAAUAUGUCCUUGAACUCUAAUAAUGCUGCUUCCUUGUGUGGAUGGAGUGUGUAGAAACUAGUCUACUGGAGAAAGGUAAAAUUAACAUUCAGUGCACCACCCGCUUUGGCCUUUGGUUCCAUCCACCAUUGGCAUGUGGCCCUCAGAAGAUUGCUCAGAAGAGAAUGUAGCCCUUGAACUGAAAAGGGUUCUCCACACUUAACCUAAGGGUUUCACUGGGCUGUGUUCCUGAACUGACUUUUAUGCCCUCUCUUACCGAAGCCAUGGAUCCUUCAGACCACGCCGAGCCAACCUUUCCUGGACCUCUUGUAGGGGAGUGCCUUCUACCUUCCAGACUCUGUAAUCCGGAAACACCAUUUUGCCAUGUUCAUGUCCGUGCCCCAUGCUUCUAGGGAAAGAUUUUUAAGAAGCAGCUCUCACAAGAUAUAGUGUACAAGGUUAUUUAUAAUUUUGCACUCAGAUCUUAUCUUUUUAAAAUAAUAGGAAAUGCACCACCCACCUUAUAAUGGCCACAUAAGAAAUGUGCCAAGUAUUGUUCAGAGAGAACUCCGAUUAUUCCUAACAGUUACUCUACUUCGCAAAGGCCCUUUAAGAAAUGAACAAACAAAAUGAAAACCCAAACCCUAGAUCUUAUUAAGUAGUGCUGAGCUUAUACUAGAACCACACAGAAUCUGACACCCACUAACAAUUGUCAUGAAAUGGAUAGGAGAAUCAGUCUUGUUCUUUAUCAUUUCCUUUUGUAAACCAAAUUUAUUUAUUUAUUUAUUAAAUUUAUUUGUCGCCCAUCUGGCUGGUUGUCCAGCCACUCUGGGCGACGUACAAGAUAAAAAACAAUACAUUAAAACGUUAAAAUUUAAAACCAUAACAGUAAAAACCUAACCCACCCCAAAAGCCUGCCUGAAGAGCCAGGUCUUCAAGGCCCGGCGGAAGCUCACCAUAGAAGGGGCAUGAGAAAGAUUCCCUCCGGAAAGUUUUCCCUUCCUUUUAAAAAUUUCAUACAUGGCACAAAGGGUGGCUCCUGAAAGCCUUCCUUGUGUCAAUUUCACUGAGCCCGAACAGACCAAUAUAGGAGAAACAUAUAUAUGUAUACACACAGGCUUGGAGUGGGUGGGGAAAGAAUGUAUAGUACAGAUAUCCCACAGUCUCCCUUAAUGGAGAUAGAACCAUUCAGUGUGGGGGGCAAAAUGCGUUUUUUUACUUUUCCUACCAUAGAAGCAAAUGGCAACCAAAAAUGUAUUUGAAAGAAAUAAAAGGUAUAUACUUAUGACUAGUAAUACCAGUUUCUUGAAUGAGGGGGUUGUCUAUCCCCCAGCAGUCCUGGAACUGGCAUUGGUUUUCUCUGUUUUAUGAAAUUAAAUAGAAACCACUCACAAAGGAGCCCAUUGCUACCUGGUAGCAUUUUAAGUUUAAUUUCUUGGUUGUGUUAGAGUGUGCGAAAGAGAUCUGGCUUUUCAAUGCAAAUACAACUUUAAAAAUAAGUCUCCAAUCAACAAAUGAGGAAAUUACCCAUUUUUAUGAGACAAUAUGUAUUUAGUAGUUCAAAGCUGCAUUAAACUGCAUUUUAAUAAGCUUUAUUAGUUAGUUAAUUUUACAUUUAGUAUUUAAAGGACUUGCAUUCUUAGAACUACUGUGCAAGAUCAUGGAGCAUCUAUUGCUUGUGAACAAGAUGUACUGACUUGCAUUAGUCAUACUCCAGAUCUGUUCAUAAUAAAUAUUAGACAAUGACGCUUUACAGACAUAAUCAUCAUUCUGGUUUUGAAAGUACUCAUUUGACUCAGCAGCAAGAUAAGCACACAGAAAAGACUAUACAAGAGUGAGGCCUAGAACUAUGCAACUAAACGAUAAUGAGAAAGUUAAUUGGCAUUUUCCCAUUCUUUUGACAGAUAAGAACAUGCAUUUUAAUGGGUACUUCAAUAAACUUUAAAUGAUUAUUUAUAUUUUCAAGACACAAUGUAUACUGACAAAGCUUUUAGUCCUCAAAUAAACUUAAAAAAAAUCCCACAAGGAUGACAUUUUACCUUUUGGUACAGGAGUAGUAUCUAAUAUUCCCUGUUGCUCUUGUCCAGUCCCCUACCCCCCAACCUGCCUAAUGUAUCUGCUUUUCAAGUGACGUUGUGCAUUUGACUAAUCAAAUAGUGUCAAACAAUAGGCAGGUAUUUUGAAAGCACUAACUUUAUUAGGUUUGCAACCCUAUGCAUAUUUACUUGAAAGUAAGCACUAUUGAAAACAAUGAAAUUUAUUUCUGAGUAGAUAUGCUGUCUACUGGGUUGUCUGAGUUGUUUACUCAGACUCUGUUAUCUUUUCGGCACCUAUUGAAGACCUUCCUCUUCCAACAAGCCUUUUAAGUAGAUACCUUUAUCCCAGUGUGCAUCUGUACUGGAACUGAUUUUAAGAUGUUUUAAAAUAUUUUUGAAAGAUGUGUUUUAAGAUGCUUUGUUUCUCAGAUUUUUGAAAGAUGAUUUUAGUGUUUUAUCCUCUAAGAGGAAGGGCAGGAUAUAAAUUUAAUAACUAACUAACUAAAUAAAUGUACAGGAUUAUACUGCUGAACAACAAAAAGUUAUUUUAAUUAUUAACAAGUUUGAUACAUAUACCAGUUAGGAAAAAAAAGCAACUUAAUAUCAUUUCUCAACUACAGCUACCUUUUCAAAAAUGUACAGUAGGGCCCCAUUUGUUGGCGUUCUGCUAAUACGGCGGCGCCAGCAGGGCAAUCAGCUGCAGCGCGGGGGUACUCCAGCUGACAGCUAUCAGCUGGAGUGCGCUAGCUCCCCACGCUCCAGCUGAUUCCUGUCAGCUGGAGCGGGGAGCUUGCGCGCUCCAACUGAUUGCGUGCUACAGCUGAUUGCGCGAUCAGUUGUAGGGCAGGGAGCUCAUGCACUACAGCUGAGUAGGGGCCCACUUUCUGGUGGUUUUCGCUUUUCGGCAGAGGCCUGGAACAGAACCUGCCAUAUGAGUGGGGCCCUACUGUAAUGAAAUAUAAUAAAAUGUCUACCAGUACUGGGCCUAGUUGCAUAGAUACAAAUGGAAUUGAACAUGACUUUUCUGUGGCUUUUAUUCCUGUAUGCCAGGGUCAGACUACAGUUAAAAAAUGUAAAUGUACUGCCUUCAAGUCGAUUCCGACUUAUGGCGACCCUAUGAAAAGGGUUUUCAUGAGGCUGAGAGGCAGUUGUGCUAUGUAGGCAGUAGCUAAUGAUGUAGGGUGGAAAAAGUUUUCAGUGCUUUAUUUGUCAAUAGAAAAAAAUUCAUUUCAUAAGUUCAUUAGUAACAAUGAAUGGAUACCACUUGCAAAUACAAUACAGUUUCAAAGUUGCAAGUAAAUUAAACAUGCUAAAUUAGAUCACUCUGUAGGCUAUCAGGAAAUUUUCCAAAACAAACUGAAAAUUUCCCGAUGCAAUUACCCUAAUCUGCAUAGGGAAAUUUUGAAUUCAAAAUUUCCAGAAAACCUACAUCACUGGCAGUAGCCAAACAGCAGCAGGCUGUCCUAGGCAGCAUCCUUUGCCACUGAUGGCUGCCCAUAUUCCCUUUUGGAGAUGCCCGCAAGUAUAGUGGGGAAGGGGAAGUAGCAGGAGAAGCUUAGCUAUAUUCCUGUUUGUCCAGAUUGCUGCAGAGCUAAGGGGCAAGGGGCUUCAACCUUUCCCUUGCUAACAAAGGACACCAUACUGAAAUUUAAAAAGUAAGCUACCAACCUAUGUGGUGGCUUUCUUGGGAGAGAGCCAGUGUUGUGUAGUGGUGAGAGUGUUGGACUAGGAUCUGAGAUAUCAGGGUUUGAAUUCUCACUCAGCCAUGAAGCUCACUGGGUGGCCUUAGGCCAGUGACUGCUUCUCAGCCUAACCUACCUCACAGGAUUGUUGUGGUGAUUAAAUGAGGAUGGGAGAACCAUGUAUGCCACCUUGAGCCGCUUGGAGAAAAAAUGGGACAUAAAUGCAAUGAAUGAAUGAAUUUGACUGUCUUUGGCAGCAGUGAAAAAAAUAAGUGGUCAAUUGGCAACAUCCAAUUAGUAAAUUAACUGGCUUGACAAUCCUAAUUUCAGCACAGAAUCCCUGCACCAGCAAAUAAAAGCCAAGUAGGAUAUAUAGCAGGCAUAUAAAUCGCUAGUUGUCUGGUGGCCUGGAGGAGAUUCUUGCUUGCCACAGGUGACUAAACAUGGAAGCCUUGCAAAAACUGGUAUUUUCUUUAUUUCUUUUAGGCCACAAAUGACUAAGGCUGCAAUCCAAUACAUAUCUACUCAGAAGUAAGCUUCAUUGCAUUCAAUGGGACUUACUUCCAGGUAAGUGUGUGCUGGAUUGCCGUCUAACAUGGACAAUGCUCAAGCAGAUGGACUAGGAAAGUUUCUGAACUUAUUUGCCAGGCUCACAUCCCGAUAGACUCUCUGAUCUGUUAGGGAUUACCAGGUAGGUUAAGUAAAAUCUGAAUUAUAUGGCACAUCUAAGAUUAUAUGAACAACACAAAGCUACUGAACUGGUGCUCAUUAUAUGCAGUGGAAUGUGUAAGCAAUGGAAAUACACAGUAUUUCUUCAUUUUUAGAGCUUCCAGUCCCUUUGACAGCCAGAGUUUGGCUACUGGUAUGCUAGUUUCACUGCUAUAGUAACACUGUUCUAGGAAUAUAGCAAGAGAUUUCAUCAGACCAGCAUUUAUUCCAUGAAUGGUUGAGAGUCAUUGAUGUCUCUGUCCUCCUCUCCCGAUUAUAAGACUUACCAGCUAUCAUUAUUUCAGAAUUACCUGGAUACAGCAUCAGCCAUUUCACUUUAGUCUGACACAUACAUACUCUGCUAAUAACUCGGACACUGGAUAAGAGCAGACAUUGCAGCUCAUGGUUUGGAUAAAAUGGAAGAUAUACUGCUGCUGCAUUAUUAGGAUAUUGAUAAUGCUGAACUGCAUAUCUCAUCUGAUUGGAUCCGGGGCCUGAUAUAAGUCCUGAACAGGCUGGAAUCCUGGACUAGGCAAUCAGCACAUUUUAAAAACAUUCCAAAUUCAGUAUUUUGUAAACUUACAGUUUUUAAAACUUCACCCUUCUCAUAAUAGCUAUGUUUUGUUUAAUCUUGCUGUAUUCAGACCCCUCCCCUUCAGUAAUCACGUAUCUUCAGCUUGGUUUGCGCUAUGAUUCAAAAAAGCUUAAACUGUGUUGAAAUACAGGACACUGAAAAUAUCUCCUGAAUAGGGUUACCAGGUCUCCGGUUUUUGGCCAGAGUCUCCGGUUUUUGGCCCCCCCCCCCGUCUCUCUGGCUAGCGCCCCUUAAUCUCCGGACUCUCAGCUUCAAUUUAAAAAAAAAAUAAGUUUCUAGGUGGUCUGGUUCCCGAGAUAUACACCAAAACGUCAACCGCCCCCCGUGCGACUGUUAAAUCUGUUUUACAGAUGUUUAGAACAGCUCUUAGCUCUAACUACAACUCCCAUCAGCCCAAUCCAGUGGCCAUGCUGGCUGGGGCUGAUGGGAGUUGUAGUUUUAAAAAGGUAACUUGUUCAAGCUCUGGCUCUAACCCUGCCCUUUCAGGAUUGUAGCUAAUAAAUGAAGCCAGGGUUGUGACUUCUUGAUCCAGGCAUGCCUAAGCUUAAUUUCAACGUCAGAAAAUGGAGGCUUUCAGAUUUUGCAGCUUGUGUAAGUAAUAUGGCUUAAAGUUUUUUUCCUCUUCCGUGCAAGAGUCAGACCCUAGGCUAUGAAAUAUGAAAGUAUUUAAUCCAAUACUCCAUUAGGACUUACUUUUGAGUAGACAUGGUUAGGAUUAUAUGGGGUGUAUUUUUACACCUCUGUGUGUGUGUGUGUCCUUUCCAACAACCCUGGGAGGUAGGGUUGGUGAUUGGAAACCAAGGCAGCUCACAAUAAGAAAUAAAUCACUUUUAAAACCAAUAGCCAUAAAACAAGUAUAAACAGUUGCAAAACAGCUUAAAGUGGCAUGAUUCUGAAUUUUGGGUUGAGUGAAUGAAGUUUAUUUAUUUAUUUAUAUUUAUUUAUAUUCCACCCUUCCUCCCAGUAGGAGCUCAGGGCAGCAAACAAAAGCACUAAAAACACUUUAAAAAUCAUAAAGACUUUAAAAUAUAUUAAAACAAAACAUCUUUAAAAAAUUUUUUUAAAGCUUUAAAAACAUUUUUUUAAAGAAAAGGUUUAAAAACAUAUUAAAAAGAAAUUCUAACACAGACAGACUGGGAUAAGGUCUCACCUUAAAAGGCUUGUUAAAAGAACAAGUUCCUUAUCACUUCAGGGUACAGUUUUUCCUGGUUAAGUAAGCCCCAUUGAAUACAUUGGGACUUGCUUCUGAAUAAACAAACAUAGGAUUGCACUAUAAAUAUCUUUACAGGUUGUAUAAAUAAUAAACAUAUUUGAUAGUCAUGCUUAUAUAAAUAUUUUGUCAUACUGUGUCCCAAUAAGUAUCCGAUUUCACACUAUGGUUGUACAAUACUUCCUUUACAUUUUAAGUAUGCCUUGGGGUGGUCAUGGUUCUCCAUUGUUUUCAUCCUGAGGGGCAGAUAGGCUGAGAGAUGGUGAGUAGCCCAUGGUCACCCACUACAGUUUAUAGCUCAUUUCCAUUUUGAAAAAUUAUUUAAAACAAUUUACAUGCAGGCAAAAUUUAUUAAGUGGAUUCACACAAUACGUUUAAAGCACAUCCAACUCGCAUUUAAAGCACAUGACGUCCCCUAAAGAAUCCUGGGAAGUAUAAUUUCCCCAUCACAGUUAUAGUUCUCACCACUCUUAACAAACUGCAGUUCCCAUGAUUCUGUGAUGGGAUUCAUGUGCUUCAAAUGGGUGUUGAAUGUGCUUUAAAGGAAUGGUGUGGAUCUGCCCUAGGUAUGAUGUGCAUUCAAGAGUGAAUGGAAAAGAACAAUUUUAAAAGAUACUUCUUCCUCUUACUCAUUUCUCAGACCUCUUUCUGAAAUGAAGGGUCAAAUCUGUAAAGAAAUUUGGAGCAGCCACGUUAAAAGAUAAGGGCAGGGCAUUCCAGGCAGGGGGUUGCCAACCCUGCUUGGAUAUGGAUGUCUUUGUAGAGGAACCCUAGUCAAGGUUUACCAACAGCACAAUCCAAACUAUAUCUACUAGAAGUCAGUCUUGUUGAGUUCUAUGGGGCUUAAUCCCUUAGUAA